UACGUAGGGUGCAAGCGUUGUCCGGAAUUACUGGGCGUAAAGCGUGCGUAGGCGGUUUCUUAAGUCUGCUGUGAAAGCCCCGGGCUCAACCUGGGAAUGGCGGUGGAUACUGAGAAGCUGGAGUACGGUAGAGGAAGGUGGAAUUCCCGGUGUAGCGGUGAAAUGCGUAGAGAUCGGGAGGAACAUCAGUGGCGAAGGCGGCCUUCUGGACCAGUACUGACGCUGAGGCACGAAAGCGUGGGGAGCAAACAGGG
rnacentral:rRNA from 1 species